GGGCUUGACUGGAAUUGACAGCGAGUAAAAUUGGUAUGUAAGCAUGCAGAGCUUUGUAUGAGUAGCUCUUUAAUCUGAACAUACAACAAUCUAAUUGGCGAAAAUAACUACGCUCUUGCUGCUUAAUCGAAUAACAGUAGAUUAGCUUAAUUUCGGUACAAGGUGCUGAAACAAGACAUCUCUCAAAUGCCCACUCCUUGAGGCGGUUUGAUAUAGAGGUGCUAACUAAAUCAGGGAUAGCUUAUCAUCGCCUCGUUUGGUAAGUGAAAAUAAAGAGGAUAAGGUUGUAGUU
rnacentral:tmRNA from 1 species